rnacentral:lncRNA from 1 species
CCAAAAUCCACCAUUGGGGAUCCAAAGACCCUCCCCUGAGCCUGGCUGGACAGGCUGCAGCUUCUGGAACACAGCAUGGGCAGGCCUGGCUAGCAGCCCCAGGUGAAGGGGCCAUCUGGUCCUACUGGACCACCAGGGGCUCCCUUUGCCUUCUGAUUACAGGAAGAGGACUCCACAUGGCCCAGAGUUCUGCCCUCAGGGUGCAUUAUCUGCUCCCCAUCUCACUGUAUGCUCUCAGGCCUUCAGCUCCAGCGCAGCCAGACACACAUGCCUCCUUGUCCCCACCAAGGAUCUCCUCACCUAGCAUCUCACAGAGAAGAUACUUGGAUGGGCCACAGGCCAAAACUGGGCCAAAGCCCUGGAGAGGGGGACCUGGCUCAAGGCCACACCACAUUUCCAUGUCAUUUUCCAGUGGCACCAACUGAGCUGGACAGAUGUUCUCACAGAGCUACACAUGCCACAAUCAUCACUAGUUGUGAGAGUCUCCAGUGUUCAUUAAGCCUAUUUUGCUGGAAGUUUAGUCCCUGGAGGAUUAGUCCCUGCCCUUAAGGAGUGCCAAAGAAGACUUUGGAAUCUAAGUCACAUCUCCCCUGCUGCAAUUUUUUCCUCUUGAUAAUCAAGGAAUCUCACUGAUAAAACUCUCAACGAGGAGCAGCUCUCCCCAUGAGCAAGUUCUUGCCUUCAUUGCCAGGGAGGCCCCAGCUAAGGGUAUACUGGGAAAGGAAUCUCUGGGGAGUACCUGGAAGAGGUCAGCUUCUCCUCAAAGGAAGCCUCUCCAGCUGGUGUACUGCAAAGCCUUCCAAGACCAAGUUCCCUCUUCCUGGCCUCUGGAACCAGCCUGUGUGCCAGCGCUGUGUCCCCAGUAACACACAUGAGUCUCUCCCUCAGAAGCCACAGAACGAUGCAGAGAGAGACCAACCCAGGAUUGAUUCUCAGCACUUACUAAUUGUGUGGACAUAACUGCUCUGGACCUCAGCCUUGCUGUCUAUAAAAUGAGCACCGUUUUUAUAGAUAUGAACACUUUAAGAGAGUCAUAAAGAUUGAAGUUGAUCUGUGCUGCACCUGGCACAGAGGCCUCCCUCAGUAAAUGGCAGCCAC